UUGGAAUCAGCUCUGCUUUUGCUGGGUGUACUUUCUUGUCAAUGGGUCAGCAUCAAUUUUGACCAUUGGAUAAAGUCAUUGGGAAUGUAGCAUCUUUAGAUGUGUUAUAGCCUGGUGAUGCAUACGGUGGUUGGGAUUGAGGAAUUCAGCACGCCACCAGGCCAGGUUUCGACCACGUUCGUGCUUAGGAUGCUGGCAUAAUGGCUUUAAUUGACCCGUCUUGAAACACGGACCAAGGAGUCUAACAUAUCUGCGAGUGUUUGGGUGAAAACCCAUGUGCGUAAUGAAAGUGAAAGUUGAGAUCCCUUCUCAAGGGAGCAUCGACGCCCGGACCAGACCUUUUGUGACGGAUCCGCGGUAGAGCAUGUAUGUUGGGACCCGAAAGAUGGUGAACUAUGCCUGAAUAGGGUGAAGCCAGAGGAAACUCUGGUGGAGGCUCGUAGAGAUUCUGACGUGCAAAUCGAUCGUCAAAUUUGGGUAUAGGGGCGAAAGACUAAUCGAACCAUCUAGUAGCUGGUUCCUGCCGAAGUUUCCCUCAGGAUAGCAGAAACUCAUAUCAGAUUUAUGUGGUAAAGCGAAUGAUUAGAGGCCUUGGGGUUGAAACAACCUUAACCUAUUCUCAAACUUUAAAUAUGUAAGAACGAGCCGUCUCUUGACUGGACUGCUCGAUGAUUGAGAGUUUCUAGUGGGCCAUUUUUGGUAAGCAGAACUGGCGAUGCGGGAUGAACCGAACGCGAGGUUAAGGUGCCGGAAUUCACGCUCAUCAGACACCACAAAAGGUGUUAGUUCAUCUAG
rnacentral:rRNA from 1 species